UACGGGGGGGGCAAGCGUUGUUCGGAAUUACUGGGCGUAAAGGGCUCGUAGGCGGCCAACUAAGUCAUACGUGAAAUCCCUCGGCUUAACCGGGGAACUGCGUCUGAUACUGGAUGGCUUGAGAUUGGGAGAGGGAUGCGGAAUUCCAGGUGUAGCGGUGAAAUGACGUAGAUAUCUGGAGGAACACCAGUGGCGAAGGCGGCUCACUGGCCCGAUACUGACGCUGAGGCACGAAAGCGUGGGGAGCAAACAGG
rnacentral:rRNA from 1 species